GCAGCCGCGGUAAUACGUAGGUUGCAAGCGUUGUCCGGAUUUACUGGGUGUAAAGGGCGUGUAGGCGGAGAUGCAAGUUGGGAGUGAAAUCCCGGGGCUCAACCCCGGAACUGCUUUCAAAACUGCAUCCCUUGAGUAUCGGAGAGGCAAGCGGAAUUCCUAGUGUAGCGGUGAAAUGCGUAGAUAUUAGGAGGAACACCAGUGGCGAAGGCGGCUUGCUGGACGACAACUGACGCUGAGGCGCGAAAGCGUGGGGAGCAAACAGGAUUAGAUACCCC
rnacentral:rRNA from 1 species